UCCACUUUCUUUUCCUCUGCCUCAUGCAUACAAAGAGAAGGGGUGAAGUCCUGGCCCCAUACUAGAAAUAAUGAACAAUAACAAUACACCCCAGGACUUUGUGAUGGGGUGUCUAUACCACACAAGGCCUGAGUGACCUGGCUGGAGAGCUAAACCAUGAAGAGGGAGCAACCAAGUCCAGAGAGAGACACCAAGGAGUGAGCAAUCAAAGGAGGGGGCAUCAGACUGCUGAAGAGCUAAUCCCCAGAUGUGCCACAAAGCAGUGCCCCUAAUGCUGGGGUCUGGAGAUGAUUUUUUUCCGAUGAAUUUAGGAUUUUGCCGCAGUAUACAUCUGCAGUCCCAGAAUCCUCCGACCUGCCAUGAACUACUAUUACCACACUGCAGACCCAAAUGAAAGUUUUCAGAGCAACUCCCAUUGAAUUUGCCCAGUGGAUUCUUAGUUACUUGCUUGGGUGAGAGUAGCCAACUUUCUCGAUUGACAAGAGUACUGCCAUUUAAAGGGUUACCCAUAUGAAAAAUAAAUGGCUUCUUGUAGAUGGAGCGGAGUGGGGGAGAGGAGCUGCUUCCUACUGUGGUGUGGAGUUAAAAGUUGACUCUGCAAAAACAAUGCCAAGGAUGUAAAAAAAAGGGUGAGAGAUCUGAAUCAUUAUCU